UGUCAAGGGAUUGGAAUCGAACCCUUGACCUUCCGCUUACCGGGCAGAUGCCAUGACCACUAGGCUACCCUGGAC
rnacentral:tRNA from 1 species